rnacentral:sRNA from 1 species
CGGGCCUGGCUCAACCCG